AGAUGGUUUUCUUACGCUCCCUGAUGAUCUUGUUGAGUUUUGCCUGAAGUUUUUCUUCCUCUGUCUUGAGAAAGUUCAGUUGCAGUUCCACUUCUUUGUACUUCUGAAUCAGCU